rnacentral:lncRNA from 1 species
AUGUUAUGAGGGGAAGAGAGAAAGGGGCUAUUUGCUCUUUUAUGGAUACGUGCUUGGCAUGGUUUGAAGGAUGAAAGAUAAGGUGGUUUAAGGACAGACAUACUCCCUUUGUGAUGCUAUUUAGCAGUUAGCAAAGACUGCUAUCCCUCUAACACAGAAUGCUCUCACACCUCUGGGUACCACUUGUGCCUCGAUCGCCUACUCAACAGAAUAAAGUUUGGCGAUGAACAGUAGAGACCCAACAUAAC